GGCUUACUAACUCAGUUGGUUAGAGUGCAAGAUUCAUAACCUUGAAGUCGCUGGUUCGAGCCCAGUGUAGGCCA